rnacentral:rRNA from 1 species
UAAUACGGAGGGAGCUAGCGUUGUUCGGAAUUACUGGGCGUAAAGCGCGCGUAGGCGGCUUUUUAAGUCAGGGGUGAAAUCCCGGGGCUCAACCUCGGAACUGCCCUUGAAACUGGAGAGCUAGAAUCCUGGAGAGGCGAGUGGAAUUCCGAGUGUAGAGGUGAAAUUCGUAGAUAUUCGGAAGAACACCAGUGGCGAAGGCGACUCGCUGGACAGGUAUUGACGCUGAGGUGCGAAAGCGUGGGGAGCAAACAGG